rnacentral:piRNA from 1 species
CCCAUUAAGCAUGGUAGGCACUUGGG